rnacentral:rRNA from 1 species
AAACUGAAGAGUUUGAUCCUGGCUCAGAUUGAACGCUGGCGGCAUGCCUUACACAUGCAAGUCGAACGGCAGCACGGAGCUUGCUCUGGUGGCGAGUGGCGAACGGGUGAGUAAUAUAUCGGAACGUACC